GGGAGCUAAUUCUUCUAUCAGAAUUGGAACAGUACAAGAUCACUAGUGAGCCACUAUAUUUAGAUUCUUCGCCUAUUCGCAGUGGUUCGUCACUUGAAUGAAAGCUAUUGAUUCAGCACAGAACAUUUGUAAUGGGUGACGGUACAUGGGCUUCAGAAGAGGAUGACUUGCUAAGGGAACACGUGAACAUGCAAGUAUGUAUAUUCAAAUUGAUGACAAUAAAUAUCAAUUUAUUCAUAGAAGAAUUUCCUUC